UCAGGUGUGCAAAAAUUCAAAGUGUCAUUACAUAUUUUUUACGGAACAUUAUCGAGAAAUGAAUUAUCUACACAGUAUGAUGAGAAGAUCAAACACCUCUGCACUGGACAUUUGCUUUCCACUUCACAGAGGCAAGAAAAAAGAAUGCAGUUGAUGUAGCCACCAGUAUGUGAUGGUGUUGCAAUCAAACCUUAGAUGCAACGCCCCUUUGAUGAUGUCAAGGAUGUAACAUUGGCAUACUCAG